AUUGAACGCUGGCGGCAUGCCUUACACAUGCAAGUCGAACGGCAGCACGGGACUCGGGCAACUGAGCCCUGGUGGCGAGUGGCGAACGGGUGAGUAAUGCAUCGGAACGUACCCAGUAGUGGGGGAUAACUAGUCGAAAGAUUAGCUAAUACCGCAUACGACCUAUGGGUGAAAGCGGGGGAGUUCGCAAGAACCUCGCGCUAUCGGAGCGGCCGAUGUCUGAUAGCUAGUUGGCGGGGGUAAAAGCCCACCCAAGGCUUCGAUCAGUAGCUGGUCUGAGAGGACGACCAGCCACACUGGGACUGAGACACGGCCCAGACUCCUACGGGAGGCAGCAGUGGGGAAUUUUGGACAAUGGGCGCAAGCCUGAUCCAGCCAUGCCGCGUGC
rnacentral:rRNA from 1 species